CCUACGGGUGGCAGCAGUGGGGAAUAUUGGACAAUGGGCGAAAGCCUGAUCCAGCCAUGCCGCGUGUGUGAAGAAGGCCUUCGGGUUGUAAAGCACUUUCAGUGGGGAAGAAAGCCUUGGGGCUAAUACCCUCGAGGAAGGACAUCACCCACAGAAGAAGCACCGGCUAACUCCGUGCCAGCAGCCGCGGUAAUACGGAGGGUGCGAGCGUUAAUCGGAAUUACUGGGCGUAAAGCGCGCGUAGGCGGUCUGAUAAGCCGGUUGUGAAAGCCCCGGGCUCAACCUGGGAACGGCAUCCGGAACUGUCAGGCUAGAGUGCAGGAGAGGAAGGUAGAAUUCCCGGUGUAGCAGUGAAAUGCGUAGAGACCGGGAGGAAUACCAGUGGCGAAGGCGGCCUUCUGGACUGACACUGACGCUGAGGUGCGAAAGCGUGGGUAGCAAACAGGAUUAGAUACCCGAGUAGUC
rnacentral:rRNA from 1 species